GGCGGGGCUGUUGCUGCAGCUGAACUCGUACUCUUUGGGAGAGACGAAGGAGAGGGCGUCGUUGGAGCGGCAGCUCAGGGAGGAGUGGUGAUGGAACAUGAGGUUCCCGAGGGCUUUUCCGGCGAUCUUGCCUCGCUUGAACAUGAGGUGGAGAUCAACCAUUAGCUUCCUCUUUGAUAUCCCUUUUCUUAACAUGAAUAACGCUACACGCACAAUGUUCCAUAGCUUCUUGGCUAUGGCUGGUGGG
rnacentral:lncRNA from 1 species